rnacentral:rRNA from 1 species
UGGGGAAUAUUGCACAAUGGGGGAAACCCUGAUGCAGCGACGCCGCGUGAGCGAAGAAGGCUUUCGAGUCGUAAAGCUCUGUCCUAUGAGAAGAUAAUGACGGUAUCAUAGGAGGAAGCCCUGGCUAAAUACGUGCCAGCAGCCGCGGUAAUACGUAUGGGGCGAGCGUUGUCCGGAAUUAUUGGGCGUAAAGGGUACGUAGGCGGUUUUUUAAGUCAGGUGUCAAAGCGUGGAGCUUAACUCCAUUAAGCACUUGAAACUGAAAGACUUGAGUGAAGGAGAGGAAAGGGGAAUUCCUAGUGUAGCGGUGAAAUGCGUAGAUAUUAGGAGGAAUACCGGUGGCGAAGGCGACUUUCUGGACUUUUACUGACGCUCAGGUACGAAAGCGUGGGGAGCAAACAGG